UACGUAGGGUGCAAGCGUUAAUCGGAAUUACUGGGCGUAAAGCGUGCGCAGGCGGUUAUGUAAGACAGAUGUGAAAUCCCCGGGCUCAACCUGGGAACUGCAUUUGUGACUGCAUAGCUAGAGUACGGUAGAGGGGGAUGGAAUUCCGCGUGUAGCAGUGAAAUGCGUAGAUAUGCGGAGGAACACCGAUGGCGAAGGCAAUCCCCUGGACCUGUACUGACGCUCAUGCACGAAAGCUAGGGGAGCAAACAGG
rnacentral:rRNA from 1 species